rnacentral:rRNA from 1 species
GACGAACGCUGGCGGCGUGCUUAACACAUGCAAGUCGAACGGAAAGGCCCCUUUGGGGGUACUCGAGUGGCGAACGGGUGAGUAACACGUGAGUAACCUGCCCUUGACUUCGGGAUAACUUCAGGAAACUGGGGCUAAUACCGGAUAGGAAUCCUUGCUGCAUGGUGGGGGUUGGAAAGCUUCGGCGGUUUUGGAUGGACUCGCGGCCUAUCAGCUUGUUGGUGGGGUAGUGGCUUACCAAGGCUUUGACGGGUAGCCGGCCCGAGAGGGCGACCGGCCACAGUGGGACUGGGAUACGGCCCAGACUCCGACGGGAGGCAGCAGUAGGGAAUAUUGCACAAUGGGCGGGAGCCUGAUGCAGCAACGCCGCGUGCGGGAUGACGGCCUUCGGGUUGUAAACCGCUUUCAGCAGGGGCGAAGCUUGUGGUGACGGUACCUGCAGAAGAAGCACCGGCUAACUACGUG